rnacentral:snoRNA from 13 species
AAGACCGUACUCUGAACAGAAUCGUUUUAUGAGUACAACCUCUUAAUUGAAAAGAAACCGAGUUUCAAAUCCUGAUGAAGACGGUUGCUUUCUCCGCCCGGAGAGCGUUUCGAUUGAACGGCAGGAGAGAGUUCCAGAAGGAUU